rnacentral:rRNA from 1 species
UACGGAGGGUGCAAACGUUGCUCGGAAUUAUUGGGCGUAAAGCGCGUGUAGGCGGCUUUGCAAGUCGGGUGUGAAAGCCCUCAGCUCAACUGAGGAAGUGCGCCCGAAACUGCAGAGCUUGAGUGCCGGAGAGGGUGGCGGAAUUCCCCAGGUAGAGGUGAAAUUCGUAGAUAUGGGGAGGAACACCGGUGGCGAAGGCGGCCACCUGGACGGUAACUGACGCUGAGACGCGAAAGCGUGGGGAGCAAACAGG